rnacentral:rRNA from 1 species
AGUGAACGCUGGCGGUAGGCCUAACACAUGCAAGUCGAACGGCAGCACAGUAAGAGCUUGCUCUUACGGGUGGCGAGUGGCGGACGGUUGAGGAAUACAUCGGAAUCUACUUUUUCGUGGGGGAUAACGUAGGGAAACUUACGCUAAUACCGCAUACGACCUACGGGUGAAAGCAGGGGAUCUUCGGACCUUGCGCGAUUGAAUGAGCCGAUGUCGGAUUAGCUAGUUGGCGGGGUAAAGGCCCACCAAGGCGACGAUCCGUAGCUGGUCUGAGAGGAUGAUCAGCCACACUGGAACUGAGACACGGUCCAGACUCCUACGGGAGGCAGCAGUGGGGAAUAUUGGACAAUGGGCGCAAGCAUGAUCCAGCCAUACCGCGUGGGUGAAGAAGGCCUGCGGGUUGUAAAGCCCUUUUGUUGGGAAAGAAAAGCAGCAGGUUAAUACCCCGCUGUUCUGACGGUACCCAAAGAAUAAGCACCGGCUAACUUCGU